CAUCUUGAUCUCCCAGAAGUGCUGGCCUUCCCCCAGCUCCUUGGUGCCACGGAUGGCCGCUGUGCCACAGCUGUACUCCACGUGGAAGUUGACCUUCCGGUUGUCGCAGCUCAGCAGGGUGGCCGAGGACUUAUUCAGCGGCAGUCCUUGCCCCGGUGGGCAGUGUGAAGGCUACCGCAGAAGGAGGCUUCGCUCUGACUGUCACAGUCGCAGAAGGACUCUCCCGUCACAGGCACUGCGCUGGGGAUGGACAGCGGCAGGGACGAGCAGUCAGGGUCAGAGUCGGAGUCACUGUGCUGGGGGGACAGGGCGGGCUGAUUCCCCUGCUCUGCCCUCCGCCCGCCCCCACACUCGCCACAGGCCAACGGGUACACUGCGCAUGCCCCAAGGAAGGGAGCUGAGAGUCUUCCUGGUCCCAGUGUCCCCAGGAUGACCCUGGACACCUGCUCCCAGCUCAGGAACUGGGUGGGAGGGCUUCCUUCCCAAAGGUCUACCACGCUGCUGGCUUCCUGGGAGUGGGCUCAACCCCUUUUCUGCGCAGCCAAGGGGGCCUGGAGGCCCAUGGCAGGGCUGCGCACUCGGGCUUCAGUCUUCUCUAGGUAGCUUCUAGAGCAUGGAUAAGCUGUGGGGCCACUGAGGGUGGCCCGAAGCAGGGGUGACCCUUGGCAAAGCCCAGUGUUGACCUAAUAGAGGCAGUCCGGGCUCUUUGCUAUGGCAGUACCUGCAUGCUUUCCUGGGCCACGGCCCCCUUUUCAUCCUUGCAAGGGGUGGCUCUUAAUCCCCUCCCAGGGCCCUGACAAGCCCACGGCAUUCAUGUUGCUGCUUUAAGCUUCUGUUACAGGAAAAUAUUGAGUGGGGGCCCUGCCCUCUGCCUGGGAAGCUCAGUCCUCAUGGGACCUGCUCUUAAGUCUGAGGCCUGAUCGCAGGCUGAGCUGGUCUGAUUCUGCUGAGCAGUUGAUCCACUCUUCUGGAGGCCAGCAAGGGACGCGCUCUGCACCGUCAUUCGUACUCUGAAGCCACAUAGGCUGCUCCGGACACCCGCGUUGGCUCUGGACCUCAGCCCAACCUUCGAGGAGCUGGGGUCUCACUGUCCAGGGUCCAGAAGGUUCAGACAGCCUCUGCCGGCCUGCUUUGCCAGCCCUGAGGGUUGGCUCGGGGUCCUGGUCAGGUCCCAGGCUCUAUUCUUGGUCUCCUGGCCUCGAGGUGUGCCUCUUGCCUGCUUGAAACACCCCGUGCACAGUAGUCCAGGUGUCCUUACUCGGACUGGCCCAGAUCCUGCCCCCCUGGUUUAGAGCCCUUCCCCCCAACAGAGCCUACCAGGCCCCUUCCCUACCCCGGCGCCUCUUCCUCUUCCCCCACCUGUCAUGGGGAGGGGGGUGUCUCUGUCCUUGGAUGGUAGCUUUCAAAGAGGCUCAGCCAGCCCUCCCUCCCAGGUCCUCCUCCUCCUCAUCUGCUCCCCUGACAAUCUCCUUCAUCCUGUCCAUCUGCCUCCUCCCAUUAGAACACAAACCACGAGGAA